AUUUGAUGUUGUGGACAUUUAAUGAUAAACUUAUUAAAUCGCUCUCAAUAUUCAUGGAGCGUUUCACCUGAUUGUUGCUUGAUGCCACAUAUUUUCUUCCUCAGAAU